GAUAAACACAGAGAGCACGUGGUGCGAGCUCCCCUUGCUAGUGCACUUUUUAAACCAACUGUACACGGUGAAAUGAUGCUGUUUACGAUUUAAAAACAGUGGCCUUGCAGUCACAAAACUCCUAUUUUGUGUGUCAGGCGGAAAACUUAUCAAGAUGCACUGCUGCCAAGAGUGAGAUUGCAUUAAAAGUAGAGACACUCCAAUUAAGGUGAAAAGCCUGGAUUCAACAUGUGUCUUAAUACAUGUUGAUGUUGUCUCUUCUAUCACUAAGGAUGAGUGAGAAGAUCAGAUUCACCAUGAUGCUGCACUUGUUGGUUAUUUGAAUAAACAUCAGGGCAGUCUCGAGUGCUGUCUGAGAGCA